ACUGAACGCUGGCGGCAGGCCUAACACAUGCAAGUCGAGCGGAUGAGAGGAGCUUGCUUCUCGAUUCAGCGGCGGACGGGUGAGUAAUGCCUAGGAAUCUGCCUGGUAGUGGGGGACAACGUUUCGAAAGGAACGCUAAUACCGCAUACGUCCUACGGGAGAAAGCAGGGGACCUUCGGGCCUUGCGCUAUCAGAUGAGCCUAGGUCGGAUUAGCUAGUUGGUGAGGUAAUGGCUCACCAAGGCGACGAUCCGUAACUGGUCUGAGAGGAUGAUCAGUCACACUGGAACUGAGACCCAGUCCAGACUCCUACGGGAGGCAGCACUGGGGAAUAUUGGACAAUGGGCGAAAGCCUGAUCCAGCCAUGCCGCGUGUGUGAAGAAGGUCUUCGGAUUGUAAAGCACUUUAAGUUGGGAGGAAGGGUUGUAGAUUAAUACUCUGCAAUUUUGACGUUACCGACAGAAUAAUCACCGGCUAACUCUGUGCCAGCCGCCGCAGUAAAAC
rnacentral:rRNA from 1 species